rnacentral:lncRNA from 1 species
GUUGUAUUUGAUAGCUGGCAAUCUAUUUAGAUUGCUAGCAAUUUAAUGUGGUAAUCUAGAUUACUUCAUUUGAUAUGCUUUUUGGAUAGUAAUCUAGAUUAUCUUGAGAUGGCUAUCUAGAUUAUCAUUUCUUUGAUAAUGUUGCAAUAAAAAUUUUGGAUAAAAUUAUCUCUCAGAAAAAUCACACAAAACCUAUUGCCC